CUAUCUAUCAUCUAUCUAUCUAUCAUUUAUCUAUAUGUAUGAAGAUAGAGCAUGUUUAGAUAUAAAAUAUUUAUGGAUCACUCAUGAAGUUGCAGUGGUUGUCAUCAUUGAAAAUAAAGCAUCAGUUUAAUUACUUUGAUUCAUAUAUAACCAAACAGGCUAUAGCUAGUGUGCAUUCUUGUAUAUGAAUGCAUGGAAAUAUAAUACCUUGUUUUAAGACAGCAUUUUAAAUGCUAUCUCUUUAACCUGAAUUCAGUGACCAGAAAGAGCAAGUAUAAAUUCUGACCUCUGGCCAUCGAAACAGCAAUAGCAAGCAGUAUUUGCUUGCAAGUGGAUGGUGCCUGGCAGAGGAGAAAAAAACAAGAACAAAACCAAUAAACACAAGAUACAGGAACCUCACAGACUCAAAGAAGCCCAGUCAAAAACAAAAUAAUUGGUGCCUACCAGCAUUCAUACAUUCAACUAUCCUCACUGCUUUCCAUCUAGACACCCAAGUAUAGAAAGGAACCUAUGGAUAGACCUGAUACCAUGGAGUCAUCUGCACAUAGAAGACAGAAAAACUAUUCCAAAUAAUUAAAUUCAAGAAGCAGGUUGUCUUGCCCUUUAACAUAAUGGGGAUGGACAUAUUUUAUUAAAUAAGUGGUGGAAUGAUGGUGGGUUAGGGGCUGGGGCAGAUUUUGGGUGUUCUAUAUCCAGUGAUCCACUGGGAAAUUUCAUAAGAAAAAAAAAGGUGUGGUUUGGAGGAAAAGGAAGAAGGUGAUGAUCUGCCAUGCUGGAGUCAAGUGCAUUUGGGGAGAGAAAGAAAUAGGGAUUACUAUUUUAGCUAGAGUAUCCCUUCCUAUAAAUUGUACAGGACAGUUUAAUUCUACUAGAAAUAGGUUGAAUAAGAGGAUAUCCCUAAAACAACUGAUAAGUGGUGGAGUCUGAUGAAAUUGUUACUACUAUUUCCUUAUGUUAACAAUAAAAAAAUCUAGAGGAGAAUUGAAUCUCCAAAACUUUUAUCAGGACUGAAAAUGUGGUGACAGUAUGUAGAAGGAAGGAGCUGGAUCACUCUAAUGCUGUGAUUACUACCUGAGGCUUCCUCUCAGAGAUGAUGUCGGUUAGGACAGGAGAACCUGAGCAACCUCAGUCAUCUAUGGCCAGACCUAGAAGGUUAGCUAGAAAGUGAUCUGGUCUUGAUGUCCUCAUGCUGAGGAGGACAGGAGGACAAUAGGGAAGGGUUGGACACAACCAAAAGUGCCACAAAUGACCAGAGAAAUGGUGGGAUUAUAGGCACAUUGAAUAGAAGGCAAAAGAACAGAGUGGGAAGGCGCACAAAAGUCCUGUUAGAUUAAGAAACUACAGGAUUUCAGCUCCCAUGGUGGGAGGCUGAAUGGAGUCAAGUGAAGAGAGGGCCAGCAUAAACUUGAAGUCCAUGUCUAGAGAUAUUUUCACAUCCAAAAGUACCAGAGGUGUGCUGGACCCUCACCAGUCAUUUCCUUGGACUCAGGAAUAUAUUGUCACUGAGGAAAGAGGAAACUUACCUAAUUUCCACCACUGGAUGGUGGUCUAAGUGACUGAUGGAUUGGAAGUUAUGUUUGUUGCAGGUAGCCUGCAGUCAACAACUCCAGUGCAGAAUGGACCCUGAAGAGGAAUUCAAGCACCAACAGAGCCUAUGCAACCACAUCUUGUAUAUAAUUCAUCUGCAUGGUCACAAAUAGAAAGUGAAGAUCAACCACAAUGACUUCAAAUGGGACUCUAUUCUGCAGAUGCUUAUCUUCAGAUCUCAGCCUGGACAUGAUUUGCAAUAGUGCAGACAAAGACUAUAUUUAAACAAUUUUAGAGUUAUGGAGGUUUGCUGUGACGUAUGGAGGUUGAUAAAGCAGAACUGAGUUCCCUGACCUGGGUGAUACUUCUUUCUGAAAGAAAUUUCUAAGAAAAAAAUGGAGAAAAGAACCUGGGUAAGUAUCUAAAAAAGAAGCAAUAUGUCAAACGAAAGGAUCCAAGGUGGUUUUGAAACAUCUAAUCCAAAGAUCAUUUAGCAGAAAACUAAAUUGGGGCCAUUCCAUCCCUGGUUAUUGCUAGAAAACCUUGUAAUUCUGUUUUUCAAGUUCCAUUUCCUGUCAUUACCAGAACAUCAGCUGAGGGUUUACAGAGAUAACACACUAUAUCACAUUACUUGUUUUAAGGGCCCUAUAUAUAGUGUUCUAGAAGACCAUUCCUCAUGCUAAAUUCCGGAAAGAAAAAAAUUGGUCAAAUACUGGAUGUGCCUAUUAUUCUUAUGCAUUCCACAGUGUCCGACACCCUCAGAGUGAGCAGAAUGAUAGCAUUAUGGCUAUUAAAGUUGGAAACCCCAGUAUGUUUCCAAUUCCAGGUAUAGACACAUAGAGUAGGAGGAUUAUAUCCCUUGGAAAUAUCCAUUUUGAUAUUGUAUGUCGGUGUGGACGUUUCCCUUCAUAAAACUGGGAAGAGGGAUAUGGCUAGAAGGAGAAUCUGUGGAAGUAAAACAUUUCCUGAAUAAUGUAACAGAUAGUAAAUUUCUCCUCCAUACACCUGUGAAUGGUAUAUCACUCCUCUGCUCAGCCCCUUCUUGUCAUACACUUAGAUCUUGAGCCCUUGACCUUUCAAUAGAUGAGGACAAGUUGUUUCGCAAAUAUGCACAUUUUUGGGGUCCUAAAAAUUAGAAGAAUUUCACCAGUCAUAGAAGUUCAGCAAACCAAAGUCUUUAUUUGAAUUAGGCAGCAAAACCUGACCAUCCAGAGACAACAGCUCAGACUCUAGGGUUGACUAUGUCUUUGUUUAUCUUAGUAAGUAUUUAAGCAGAUGAUUAAUUUUUAUUUUACUCAAACUACUGCUGAUUAAUCUGGGCCUCAGGUCAGAGUCAGAAUUUGAACUGUGAGAAAUAGGAAAGUAUGCAAUGCUUUUUAAAGAGGAUAAUACAAAUUGAAGAGGAGUGAGAUUGGUUGUGGUGUUGAUCAAUUAUAUUUUGACAGAAGAAUUUGAGCAACGGUGUAUCAGUGACUGGGUCUUAUAUGGGCCACUUGAUUUCAAGGUCUUCCACCCAGAGCUUUGGUGAUCAGAUCUUAUACUGGAUAUUUGGCCUGUUACUCAAUCAAUAUAAAGCAGGAACAUAGGAAUGGGCCAAGUGCCUGGUGUUAAUUAAGGCAUUAUAGCUAAUACUUUUACAAUUGUGUACCUCAGUUUAGGUAUUAAGUAACAUUUUCUUUUACCUUCUUUUGUGAAAUACUGGUUAACAAACAAGAAAGACUAGACAUAUGAGUUGCUACUCUAUACUUAUUUCCAGCAUGAUAGAGAUGCUGGGAGACCACUGUCUUUUUACACACCCUAUACACAAUCUUCAUGUACCUGAAUCAAAUCUUUGAUGGUAAUUCUCCUGGCCCUUAAAUAAACUUGCAGCAUUAAUGUGAUAUUGACCAAAACAUAAAAAAUGUUUAUCAUGGAAGUGCCAUAAAUCUUAACCAGGAAAAACAAAACUUGUUUUUUGGUAUGUGAAUUCGCAUUAUAGGUAGCCAUUUUCCUCUUAUGGUAGAGCAUUUCCUUUUGACUUAGUAUUUCAGCCUAUUAGGUAAGAAAAUGUUUGCUGUAUUCUCAUCUUUAACUACUUCCAACUGACUUUAGGACAUUACUAUUAGGGCUCUGGAUGACUGAAAGUGUAAUCAAAGGCUAUUGAUGGGGAAUUUAUCAGAAGCAAUCACAUAUUUUGUAAUAGUUUAAAUCAGCUUUUAGCAAUUCCAGUGCUUAAGAGCUUUCAGUGAUUGUCAGUCAAGAAGAUACUGAGACAAAUAUGGAUUAUGGACAGAAGUUAAAAUUUUCCAGCAAUUGGGAAAGGUGAGGAAUACCAAGACCAAAUGGACAAUCCCAUUUUCAGGAACAGACAAGUGUAUCUAAAGUCUCUUUGAUGUGUGACAGGUAGAUCAAGUCUUAUGAUUUCCUAAACCAUGUGCAAAUAUUAGUUUACAAAAGGAGGUAUAUUAGUAUUAUGAUUGUAUUUACAUCUCUAUUUAAAAAUAGUGAACAGAUAUCUGUCAGACAUCAAGUAUAGAUUCAUGCCUUUGUGACCUAGAAAAAGCUAUAGCUAUGGUUUAAAAGCCUGAUGAGAAGCACUGUUAAGUUUAUAUUCAGAAGACAACUCAAGGGGGUUUAAAAACUUGAGCUUGUGACUAGAAAAUAAGCACCCAGUACUCUACAAUGUUAUCAGAAUGCCAUUGAUCAAUGGUAACAUUCUGAUCUUUGGAAAUCUUAGUAUAAUGAUAUCAUAGAAAGCGGUAUUAAUAUGAAUCAUUUCUCAUUUUUCUUAUAACUUAUAUCACUGUCUUGCACCUCUGCUGCCUGAUGCUAAUUGCUCUUGUGAGUUGGAGAUGAGGAGACACAGAAUCAAUGGCACAGAUCCUGGAAUGGAUUGGAACAUCCCAGCAGCCUUAUAUGAAUACUGCUACAAGCUCAUUUAAUUAGUCACAGAAGGGUGCUCUUUAUAAAGUGCACCUGCAUUUUAUUGGUCAAUGCAAGCUUCUCUUCUAAGCAUAAUUCCCAACAACCUGGAUGAUCUGCAUCAGCAAUCCUUAGUCUUUCUGGCAGUCUCCAAGUAGGUCCUUCUGCAGGGGUUGCCUUUGUCUCUUUGCUCUGUGCUACAACAUUUAUGGAGAGGCAGCCACUUCCAUUUCUUCUACAUUUCCACACAUUUGUUUUUAGACUUUGACAGCCUAGUGCAAGCCAGGGUGCCAUUUCCUCCACAUUGUUGUCUCCACGUUGGAGUGUUCCCAGUAUACUAGACUGUGACUGUCUCUAAUUUUCCUGUCUUCCAGGAUCUUACCCAUCAUUGAAUAUCAGCCCUCAAAGUGACAUCACUACCGAGGCAUGUAACACAAGGGAGAGAUGAGAAAGAGCCUAUGGUGGUCUCACCCAUCUCAGACAUCCAGGCUUUGCUCACUUCCUUAGGGGUUGCACAAUCAGGAUUUUCAGGGCUUUCAGGAUUUUCAAGAACCAUCAGCAACUGGAGGGUCAUCUUAUUUGUGGAGUAUUGCCUGGAAAUAUGAUGUGUGAGUCACACAGGCCAGAAGACUCUGAAGGACUCCCAAGACUGCUGGUUAAUUCUAGCCUGAUUCUCAGCAAAGUCACAAUAUUCAGACUUCCAAUUAAGAAACAUGGGUGGUUUUAACACCACCUUCUGAAGAUUAUACCUAUAUAACAUGUCUGCAGGUCUUUAUUGAUAUAUCAGAGUCACUGAAUGGAUUUGGGAGAACUCUGACUCUAAAAAGAAAUUGUUCAGCACGUUUUAAAGGAUGAGACCACGAAGUGAGGAGGAAGACCUCAGAAAGAUAAACAUGAAUAUGCUGCCUCAAAUCUUUUCACCACAGUGCUGAUGUGUAGAUGAAGAUCUGGGUUUUAAUUUUCUGUCAGCUUCAUCAGGGAUAAAAAAAUAUGACAUCCAAGGAUCCUCCAUGAAGAGCCACCAAGAAAGUCUUCACCUACAGAGCUUCCUUCUACACCCUCAUGGAAGGAUUCCCUGUGCUCCUAGUAGCACCCACCACUAAACUCAAGCCUACCACCAUCCAGAAAGGACUCGCCCAGUGGGACCAGCUGGAGCUCCACCCCAUCCCCCAUCCCCGGCCUAGAUCCAGCCUCUGAGCCUCCAUUUCAUUCUCAGCUCUUCUGAGGCAUUCCAGGGGUGACUGGAUGCCCAAGAGCCUGAGAACCAGAUGGCUCCGGCGUCUUUGCAGACUUGGGACCUGACCUGAGAGCCAGCUCGGGCUGUUUCCAGUACUCAGACUAUGCUUCCCCACACACCCCAGAGGGGUGUCCCACAGCUUUCCACAGCUCAACACCGGCCUGGUGACAGCAUGGAGUAGUGUGAUCAAACUUCCUGCAUCCAGCCUUCCAGAGACUAAUCCUACAGCAUCUCAGUUGUUUGAUUUUCAUUUCCCUGAUGAUUAAGCAUGUUGAACAUUUCUUUAAGUGCUUCUUGGAUAUUCAAGAUUACUCAGUUGAAAAUUUUCUGUUUAAUUUUAUAACAUUUUUUUAAAUUCGAUUAUUUGUUGUUUUGGUGUCUAACCUUUUGAUUCUUUAUAUAUAUUGGAUAUUAGCCCUUUGUCAGAUAGCGACUUGGUGAAGAUCUUUUCUCAUGUUUAGGCUACUGUUUUGUCUUCUUUAGAGUAUCUAUUGCCCUACAGAAGCUUUCAGUUUUAUGAAGUUAUGAUUAUCAACUAUCAAUGUUAGAGCCCUAGCCAUUGUUCUCUUCAAUAAAAUUUCUCCUAUGCCAA
rnacentral:sRNA from 1 species